CUUAGGUGUGGAAAUCCACUAUGCCACACAAAUCAGCUGAACUGAAAAACAUGAAAAUAUAGGACAGGAUAGGGUGGGGUGAGGCCAGUCAGAGGUGGUAUUUGCCG